AAGUCGUAACAAGGUUUCCGUAGGUGAACCUGCGGAAGGAUCAUUACCGUGGGGAUUCGUCCCCAUUGAGAUAGCACCCUUUGUUUAUGAGUACCCUUGUUUCCUCGGCGGGUUCGCCCGCCAGCAGGACACCGAAAAACCCUUUGUAGUAGCAGUAACCUCAGUUAAUAACAAAUAUUAAAACUUUCAACAACGGAUCUCUUGGUUCUG
rnacentral:misc_RNA from 1 species